CGCUGGCGGCAUGCUUUACACAUGCAAGUCGAACGGCAGCGCGGGGCAACCUGGCGGCGAGUGGCGAACGGGUGAGUAAUACAUCGGAACGUACCCAGAAGUGGGGGAUAACGUAGCGAAAGUUACGCUAAUACCGCAUACGUUCUACGGAAGAAAGUGGGGGACCUUCGGGCCUCAUGCUUUUGGAGCGGCCGAUGUCUGAUUAGCUAGUUGGUGAGGUAAAGGCUCACCAAGGCGACGAUCAGUAGCUGGUCUGAGAGGACGACCAGCCACACUGGGACUGAGACACGGCCCAGACUCCUACGGGAGGCAGCAGUGGGGAAUUUUGGACAAUGGGCGCAAGCCUGAUCCAGCAAUGCCGCGUGAGUGAAGAAGGCCUUCGGGUUGUAAAGCUCUUUUGUCAGGGAAGAAACGGCUGAGGAUAAUACCUUCGGCUAAUGACGGUACCUGAAGAAUAAGCACCGGCUAACUACGUGCCAGCAGCCGCGGUAAUACGUAGGGUGCAAGCGUUAAUCGGAAUUACUGGGCGUAAAGCGUGCGCAGGCGGUUUUGUAAGUCUGACGUGAAAGCCCCGGGCUCAACCUGGGAAUUGCGUUGGAGACUGCAAGGCUUGAAUCUGGCAGAGGGGGGUAGAAUUCCACGUGUAGCAGUGAAAUGCGUAGAGAUGUGGAGGAACACCGAUGGCGAAGGCAGCCCCCUGGGUCAAGAUUGACGCUCAUGCACGAAAGCGUGGGGAGCAAACAGGAUUAGAUACCCNUGGUAGUCCACGCCCUAAACGAUGUCUACUAGUUGUCGGGGUUUAAUUAACUUGGUAACGCAGCUAACGCGUUAAGUAGAACGCUGGG
rnacentral:rRNA from 1 species